CCCUUAGAUGUCCGGGGCCGCACGCGCGCUACGCUGAAGGAAUCAGCGUGGCUUUCUCCCUGACCCGAAAGGGUUGGGAAACCCGUUGAAUCUCCUUCGUGAUAGGGAUUGGGGCUUGAAAUUGUUCCCCAUGAACGAGGAAUUCCCAGUAAGCGCGAGUCAUAAGCUCGCGUUGAUUACGUCCCUGCCCUUUGUACACACCGCCCGUCGCUACUACCGAUUGAACGGUUUAGUGAGGGCCUCGGAUUGGUCUCGGCCCGCUCUUUACCGGGCGGCGCCGUUGGUCGAGAAGACGCUCGAACUUGAUCGUUUAGAGGAAGUAAAAGUCGUAACA
rnacentral:rRNA from 1 species